ensembl:lncRNA
CACACGCUUGGUUUCUGGAUCAUUUGCAUAAUUUCUAAUUAGUAAGUUUAUAAGUGAGGAACAAAAAUAGAGACGGAGGAAGUAUGAAAGUACACUGAGGAGGAGAUAAAGUGCACCCGGUGUUUAUGACAGGGGAGAAAUCUCAUAGGAAAGGGUGUAAGGUGAUAAUUUGACACACUAGCUGUCUGUGUGCUGCUCAGACCAGCUGAGACUCACAAAGAAGACAAGUCAAGCCUAAAUCUACAAAUACUCCUUCUCCUCUUUCUCCCCAGACUCAAUUGUGUCUUUGUCACAACUAGUUCUGGAGACCUGCUUGCCAACCACCGACGAGCUGGAAAUGCGGUGACCAACAUUCUGGCCAAAGAGCUGAUGCAGGAAGAUAAGCCUUCAUCGAGUAAACCUUCUGCAAAAAAGUUAAAGUCAGAUGAUAAAGUGGAGCCAAAACUAGAAGGAGCAGAGUCAUUAGAGGACUUGCUUGAGGCUGCGGCUUCUCGGUCUAGUUAGGUACCCAGGUAGAAGUUUGUUUUUGUUUUCUUUAUGUUUAGUUUUGAUUUUUUUUUUUUUUUUUUUUUUUUUUUAAACACAUACAGCCAGUCUAUCUAAAGUCAGAUUUAUCUUUCUUAGGCAUUCCAGGGGCCAAUAAUCAUCUGCUAUUAGUUUACUGAAUAAAGAUCUGCUUUCUUUUCCACAAAUGUCUUAAAAGGACCGUCUUUUAGAAUAGCAUUGUCUUUUGAGACGACAGAGAGAUGCAGAACUUAAGGGCGCUGCUCUCACCUCAGUUUCAACCUCCGCAUGGUCAUCACCAGCCUUGAGAACUCUGACACUGUCAUAAAGAUUGAAUUGCUUUUUCCAUCACAUGCACAUAAGGUGUUCAUGUUUAUUUUUUUUCUGUUUAUUUCUACAUCACUCGGUUCACCUGUCACUCAAAGGGCAUCUUUAGCCAUUCCAAAGACUUACUCAGGAGGAUCCACUUUGUUUCUUUUAUCUUUUUUCCCCUUCCUUUUUUGGUUAUUCCCAGAUUUAGACUGAGAAUGUGUGGAUUUUGGCACAUCCUGCAUCAUCUUGUCAGGAUGUUCCAGCCAAGACCACUUUGCGCUGUUUCUGUUUUUUGUUGAUGUUUUCUGUUUUUAAAGAGAUGAAACAAUUUUCUUUGUAAUUAUUUGAUAUUCCAUAUGUUACUGCUUGUAAUCAUUUUACUGUAUUAUUCAAAGUGCCAACUGAUAGAAAUCCAGUCUUAUCAUUUCACUUCUGGGUUUAAUCCGGUCACAGUUUGCACUGGUCCUGUCUGACACCUCAUCAACAGCAGUUAUCACCUGGGUUUAUAUUUCAGCAUGUUCUUUAGCGAGAAAGGGCAUAGCGCACGGGUGUCCAUGUGAUUAAAGGGAGAGAUUAAUUAUAUAAACUUGUCUGUUACCAUAUGUGCCCAUAUCAUUUAUAUGAAACAUGAACAUGAUUAUUCACACAAAAUCUAAAGGCGAGAUAAUCGAGAGCAAAAUUGUUCUUCCACAGAGUCCAACCAAAACAAAUAUUGCUUUUUCAGAGGGUGUUUCCAUACACACCCAGCCUGAGCAGUUUACAUGCCUGUGUGUUUGUAUAUGAAAAAGUCUGUGUGAAGUCGCUGCCUAUAUUUAGUCAGCUUCCUACAUGUGUGUGUUUGUGCUUGUAGGUUUGUGUGUACUGCCAUCCAUAAUUACUGUACGGUACCGACCAUGCUGUCAUAAAUGCUAGGUUUCAUGAGCAGCGUUUUGGUCUUUCUGCUGAAGAUAAAGCGCACUGGAAAACUGCCCAAAAACUGCUGAGAAGUAAGUGUGUGUGUGUGUGUGUGUGUGUGUGUGUGUGUGUGUGUGUGUGUGUGUGUGUGUGUGUGUGUGUGUGUGUGUGUGUGUGUGUGUGUGUGUGUGUGUGUGUGUGUGUGUGUGUGUGUGUGUGUGUGUGUGUGUGUGUGUGUUUCUCCCUCCCACUGAACUGCAGCAGUAGUUUUUGAAUGUCUGGCCCCGUUUCUAUUUGUAUUCAGCCAUCAGCAUACAUGUUGCCAUGAUGUUGUGGUGUACUAUUUGACAGGAAUCUGGUGAGACGAUGUAAGCUGCUCCAUGCAAUAUUUAUUACUAUGCAAGCACAUUAUUGUAGCACGCUCCCCAGACUUGAUACCUAGCCAGUCUCAGGAUGUACAAACCGCUGGCACACCUCGCACGCUCUUGAAUAAACCUGCUGGUUCAAGGUCAGUGCUUCAUGGCAGUGAUGACUGAGAAAAAUCCUUUUUGCUCCAAAACUUCAGCAUUUCAUGACAUCACUAGCAUUGUUAAUUCCAUCUUCCUAUAAGAAAGUGCUGUCUUUGGACUAAAUGGUAAUUAAACACAAUAAAAAGAAAUAAGAUGAAGCACUGGAGCACCUCCACUGAUGGUGCUUCAUUUUUAAUCAAGUAACACUGAGAAUAACAAAUAGUUUGUUGCGCCUCAUCUCAAGCACAAAUAUGUCGUAGUUGUAUUUAAGUGGUCGACACGGUUGCCGUUUUAUGUCUGCAAUAUUCUGCCCAUGACUUCAAGUGCAUACCUGUAGGUUGAUUGUGUGUAAUGCACCCUGAAAAACGAAUGUUUUUGAAGUGAGGAGCAAGGGAAAACUAGGAGGUAAACGAUGUCACUGGAAUAUUUUUGCAAAUUUGAGUUCUUCCUUUUCUCAACAACUUUUUUUUUUCUUUUUUUUAAGAUGUUGUUUUCUAUAUGAAUUUUAAACGAUUGAUUAUUUUAAUGUAAUUUUUUUUUCCAGAGAUUUCUGUAUGGAUAUAUAACAAUGCACCCAGUUGUCCUGUUUGUUACGCUGAACUAUUAUUAAAAAUGUCUUAAGUAAU